UGGUAUGCUCCAAGGUAUCUAGAGACAAAACCAUUGAAUCCAGUGAGACCACUUGAUGGGUAAGAAACCUUCCUGAAUGAGUAAUAGUGACAGAAUCUGACCCCAAGGUGUGAAAUAUGGGGAUCUCUACAAAAUUGCUCCACUGUCUGGUGGCAGGUUGCUAGCUGGAUUGUGCACUGGGAUAAUUGUUUGCACAUCUGCGCAGACCAGUAUGUGUUUUUGGCCAGGUAUAACCCAUGGUUGUGCACAGUCCUUUCCCACUUACUACACACCGAGGGCUUGGUAGAAGCUGUAGAUACACAGGCAGGGUUGCAGGUACAUUUAUAUAUCUGCAUUACAGACAGACAGCCUGGGUCCACAGAGAGCUACACAGCUACAGCCACGCGGGCAGACUGUGAUGCAGAGGCAGGUAUCACCAUGCCUUCCUCAUACUUGGAUUUAGCCCCCGGCAGGUACAUAUGGUCUGAGCGCACAUGUAUGCCCAGAAUGUUUCUCUUUCUUUAGGUAUUGCCAUCCUUUCCAGCACUGACAAAGAUCUAUCUGUGAGGCUGCACUCGUUUUCAGCUGGGAUGACAGGAACUACAUCAGGAACUAUAUUCGGAAGAAGAGGGGAGGAAAAAAAGGAAGAAGAAAAAAGGAAAACAGCAUGCAGAGAAGAACUAUAUACUUGGAACAAAACAGGUACAGUUACUUCGUGCUGGAUUUAUUUCCGCACAACAUAACAGCUUUCCACAAUAUGCUUUAGAUGGAAUUCCCAGGUGACUUACUGUUGUAUUUAAAUACUGCUUGCUUAGGAUUUAAAUAAACAGCUUUUAUAUUAAUUAGAAACA
rnacentral:lncRNA from 1 species